AUGGUUCGAAUAGAAGUCUUUGGUACGAGUUAACAUAAAAGCUUAAGCAUGUCAUACUUCUGCCUCUCAAUACACACAACUAUUUCAGUGUUCUGUUACCUAAUAGGCAUGACAAGCAUCCACGCUAUUACCCAAUAGGCAUGUCAAUGCUUCCACUUCUAUUGUCCAAUAGACAUUUCAAAGCAUCUACCUUUUAAAUGUGAAUCAAAGAGAUGCUGUUACAUUUUGAUAUCUGACAAUCUCAUAAUAUAACAAAGUGCCUUCAAGUAACAACUCGCAGCAUUUCUUCGUUGCGGCCAGGAAUCAAGCACAAACACAAAUCCCAGUCUAAGUAUUUUGGACAAAUAAAUUCACCCAGCUCCGCCGGCGUGCUCUUUGCGUCGAGCUCGACCACAUGCAGCUUCAGCAGCGGCAGCACACGAACAGCGGCGGCAACAAACACGGCCUCCAUCGCCAUGGUGACAUUUUUGCUUCCUCUUUCUUCUUACCUUUCAUCCCAGUCCAUGUUGCUGCCAUUACUCUUUACCUCCACGAGAACAAGGCGUCCAGUGCUAGAGCAUUAAGACGAAAAUGGUUAAGAGUUAAGACAGAAACAUUUCUCCCCAGAAAAUUGAAGUAAACGAACAGACAUAUGGUGGCCUCGCUUCAGGGGAGCAAAUCAGCAAACACAUGGACUGCAUAAUAACCAACCAGGUGGCGGAUGUACACCAUCGAAAUCGACCUAAUUGUCAAAAAAAGAGAGGCAAAUGCAAGAAGAACAGCACAAUCCAUAGAAGGUCGGCGGAGCGCCAAUGCCAGAGCUCCCGGAGGCAGACGAACAGAUAUGUUGCCAUCAAGGGCCGAAGGCAGAGGAGGUCUCCUCAGCGGCGCCGGCGCGCGGCGAAGACCUGGAGGCGCCCGAGGUCUCCUAGGCCAGAACCUCGUGCUCCUGGAGGAAGAUGGGGAGCGCCGAGCGCCGUGGCUGCUGCUGUUCUUGAGCACGAGCUGCUGUGGUUGAGCUCCAGCUCGUCGUCCCGGUGAUGGUUGUUGAGGCGGAAGCGAGAAUUAGGUCGGCGAUCUCGUGCAUCUAGGGCCGGCCAGGUAUCGUUGUGGGCCUGGUUGGGUUUAAAACUGUUUUUUGAUUUUUGGCUUAUAAGCCACAAAAACAUCUAAAUAGUUGGUUUUGACUUUGACUUUUUGCUUAUACCAUCAUCUAACAAUAUAUCAAGUCAAAUGUCAAAAGCCAAAACCGAAAGAACAUAAUUUGGUGCUUUUGUGGCUUAUAAGCCAAAAAUUAAAAAGCAGUUUUAAGACCAACCAAACAGGACCUAAAUAUCAAGAGUUGGUACGGGAUACAAAUACAACACGUAGAAAAACUACAUCUAUAUGUACACAUACUAUGUUUAUCAAUUGCAACUUCGAACAGCCAUGGCCACAGGCCUUGUGUGCCUUGAGCUUUACAAGGUUCUGUCUGGUGGCCACACAGUCGAAGACUAUCGCAAUACAUUUGCUAACCUUGCAAUACCGAUGUUCUCCAUGGCCGAACCUGUUCCGCCCAAGGUGAUCAAGCAUCAAGACAUGAGAUGGACCGUGUGGGACCGAUGGUCUAUCCAGGGCAACAUCACUGUUGCAGAACUACUAAAAUGGUUAAGCGACAAGGGUCUGAGUGCUUACAGUGUUUCUUGCGGGACAUCGCUGUUGUAAAAUACCAUGUUCACGAGGCACAAGGAUCGACUGAACAGGAAGAUGGUGGAUGUCGCCCAGGAGGUGGCUA
rnacentral:lncRNA from 1 species